CAACCAUGGCAUUUAGUGAUGGAAUUGCCAGUUCCAGUUCUGAUUGAACCUGGAACAAGUGUCUACAAACGUGUUCUCAAGCAGCAUAGCAUCCCAGUGGAGGCUUCGUAAUGCAUCAACAAAGGAGUGAGGUUACCUUCGG